AGAAGUAUAAUAUUAAGAGUAAACUGUCGAUUUGCCCCCUGAACUAUCACCCAACUUUCGAUUUGCCCCCUGAACUUUUUGAUUGGAAAAUUAAGGACUUAAACUAAUUUUUUUGGCCGAUUUCCCCCCUACCAUUAGUUUUUCAUAGAUUUCAUCCAAAUUAACGUUAACUCUUAUCAUGUGCAAACCACGUAACUCUCAUUUGUGGACAAAAGUGUCAUUUCACUAGACAUUCAGACAAAAAAGCUAUAGAAUCACACAUAUUUGCAUAGGUUUAUAUUUUAGAAAUCGAAGGUUUUCAAUUAUUUUAAAGAAUGAAGCGACCGAACUACCUACACAUGUUGUGCAUAUGCUUCUAUUUAACAGAAAUUUGGAUGGAAUGAAUGAAAAAUUAACAGCAGGGGGCAAAUCGGCCAAAAAAAUUAGUUUAAGUCCUUAAUUUUCCAAUUAAAAAGUUCAGGGGGCAAAUCGAAAGUUGGGUGAUAGUUCAGGGGGCAAAUCGGCAGUUUACUCUAAU
rnacentral:lncRNA from 1 species